CAAUAGCGUAUAUUAAAGUUGUUGCGGUUAAAAAGCUCGUAGUUGGAUUUCUGCCGAGGACGACCGGUCCGCCCUCUGGGUGAGUAUCUGGCUCGGCCUUGGCAUCUUCUUGGAGAACGUUGCUGCACUUGACUGUGUGGCGCGGUAUCCAGGACAUUUACUUUGAGGAAAUUAGAGUGUUUCAAGCAGGCAUACGCCUUGAAUACAUUAGCAUGGAAUAAUAAGAUAGGACCUCGGUUCUAUUUUGUUGGUUUCUAGAGCUGAGGUAAUGAUUAAUAGGGAUAGUUGGGGGCAUUCGUAUUUAACUGUCAGAGGUGAAAUUCUUGGAUUUGUUAAAGACGGACUACUGCGAAANCANNNGCCAAGGAUGUUUUCAUNGA
rnacentral:rRNA from 1 species